rnacentral:rRNA from 1 species
AGUGAACGCUGGCGGCAGGCCUAACACAUGCAAGUCGAACGGCAGCACAGGGGUAGCAAUACCCUGGGUGGCGAGUGGCGGACGGGUGAGGAAUACGUCGGAAUCUGCCUAUUUGUGGGGGGAUAACGUAGGGAAACUUACGCUAAUACCGCAUACGCCCUACAGGGGAAAGCGGAGGACCUUCGGGCUUCGCGCAGAUAGAUGAGCCGACGUCGGAUUAGCUAGUUGGCGGGGUAAAGGCCCGACCAAGGCGACGAUCCGUAGCUGGUCUGAGAGGAUGAUCAGCCACACUGGAACUGAGACACGGUCCAGACUCCUACGGGAGGCAGCAGUGGGGAAGUAUUGGACAAUGGGCGCAAGCCUGAUCCAGCCAUGCCGCGUGUGUGAAGAAGGCC